CGCCGCCACCCUCCGCCCCUGACGCGGCCGCCCCGACGGCGGCCGCCAUGUACUGCAUGGAUGCCCAGUACAUGUUCGACGAGUUCCCCUGUUUGAUCUCUCUCCCUCUUCGUUUUAGUUUCCCUGCUCUCAUACUCCAUGUCUUCCUUCAUCCUUAUAUGAUGCUAUUUGUUUCAUUUUCCCUUAGAUUUUACAUUGACCUUUGUUCAAAUCCUACCCGGAUUGAACUACUGAAAGGGAGCACACAAAUCUACAGAGUUAACAACUACAAGGAAUCAGUUCAGUGUUGUCACCAUCUGUCAUUUUUUUAGAUGAAGCUUGGAUCAGGGUCUUUUAAAUUUGAAUCCAUUUGAACACCAAGUAUAUGGGCAGUUCUUGGUUGCUCUCCAAAGUCUAUUCAUUCAAACGCCAAGGAUAUGUGCAGCUCUUGGCUGUUAUGUGUAGUUUAUUCAUUCGAACACCAAAGAUAUGAAGAAUUAAGGUUAUUUCUUGCUGAUUGUUAUUUUCUGCAUGAUUUAUAGCUUUCUCAGUGCUCUGGCAGGCUUCUUUGACUUGAUGUUUUUUAGAGAUGAAUCUGAAUGCUCUUUUAUACAUGAAUGAGUGCUUAAUGUAUCCCCACACACCUUUUUGUUUAUAUCAAGUUCUCAAUGGUUUGAAGUCAACAUUAAUUUUUUAGAAGAAUAAUGAGAGUAUGACAUGAGAGAUUCAAUUGCAUAAUUACUGAUCGGAGAAUUAAGCAUUGGCAUGGCAUUACUUCUAUUCAUGGUAGUUUUUGCAAUGGGAUUUACGUAUAUACUCGGUUCUAAUAUUUGGUUCUUCCCUUACGAGAGAAGCUUUUUUUAAUAUUUGCUUUGACCCUUCUCCAUGACUAAAACUCAUGUUGCGUUUGCAUUUGUUGUUACACCUUCUAUCUCCGUUACUACUUAGUAGAUCCCAUAGCAUGGGAUAGGAUUUGGAAUUAGCUUUCUUGCUAUUUACAUAUGUUAUCCGCGUGCAUGAUCGCAGGUCUCUCUAUCUUAUGAGCCACUACAACAAAAUGUAUCAAUUUCAGUGUGAUAUACUAGCCAUCAAGGCUUGUGGCUUAUGUUAUGGCUAUAAAGUCACACUUGUAAUUUCCAGGCUUGCUGCCUGACCCUGCCAGCUGAUCAAUCCACACGGUCGCACGACGCCUUGACCAAGUUGGCAACUCCCCGUACCAGACAUGUCACCACUGCCUCUCCUCUGUUCGGUGCUUCUCUUCAGGUGCUCUCUGGUGGCAGGGCGAUCAAUGCUGGUUCUGCUAGAGUUCCUCCAUUGCCCCGGGUGAGGCCUCAGGUCCCCGACUCCUGCAUCUGAUGCAUUAGCUUGAAAUAAGCCAUUAGCGUAUGGGGUGGAGGUGGCUCUGACAGCAUGAGGUUGUGGUUUAUUGGGCUUAUAGUUUUGACCUCAUUUAGUAAUAUGGAAUGCAUGUUUUGUUUUCUGCUAUAGAGUUUUUUUCUACACACUAUGAGCUAUAUUUAAUGUUAUUAUCAUCCUUGUCAGCACACACUUCCAAAGAUGUCCACUACAUUAUUACUGUAACAAAUUUUAUGCAGCAGUAUAGAAGGAAUUACUGUGUGAAGCAAUUGCACGCGUAUUUGGAGGAGGGAUGCAUCCAGUUGACUCCCAAAAACCAGGGCUUCAGAGUGAAGCUCAAAUGGCAGGGGCUAAAACUCUAAUCGUUUCAUACAAAAUAUGUUAACUUCAUAUGGGCCUGAACUAUAGGAUUUCUUGCUUUAUUGAAUAAUCUUGUUGUUCAUAAUCUAGCUAGCUAGGUACAACGAUUAUAGGAAAUGUGGAUCUUUGUCUCUUCUGCCGCUGUCGUCCCAAGGAGAGGGGGGGUGAACCUCCGCCGCUCGCCAUUAACCCGUCGGUCGAGAGAAGAAGAGAAAGGAAGGGAGGGAAAGAGAAAGGGAUAGGGGAGAAGUUGGCAACUCCCCGUACCAGACAUGUCACCACUGCCUCUCCUCUGUUCGGUGCUUCUCUUUAUAAUAUAUAUAGAUGGUGAAUCAUCUUCUCUGCUAGCUAGAGUAUUAUUUUUUGCACUCAUGUUAUUCAUACCGUCGGAAGCGACAAGAUCCAGACUGGAACAAAUGCAGCAACGAAGAUAUUUGCUAUAGAUGAAAUGUGUGCACUGCAGCUCUGUUGAGCGAGAUGUAAGACUUUUUCUUUUGUUAACAUGAAUUUAGUCGAUUGUUAACAGAUUUAUCUGCAGGGUUUGAGUCCGCAACUAAUAGAGUGAACAUAUUUUUCUUGCUGAACCAUGAAUCUUAUGGGAAGUAGCGAGCUUUAGAGACUAUGAUUUCUCUGCGGAGGUGUCACCUAAGAAUUCUACAUUCCAGAUUUUUUUCAGAAUCACUUCGUUUCCCAUGGCAUUGUUGUUUCAAGACGGAGCUAUCCCAGUUUGUUGCUCUAUCAUUUAUGCUGCAACUUGUUGUUGAUUCCUUUACAUUUAUUUUACAACUUUUAGUGAAAGGCAACCUCCAAUCAAGCAUCGAUUUACCAAAGAGCAGUUUCAAGUUUUCUCUUUCUUUUGUACAUUGUUGUUGUACAUAAUUUGUUGGGCAUACGAUAUCUUCUCGAAAGAUGAUACAUUAUCUCGACACCAGCAUGUGUCACUUUUUGGGCAUUAGAUAGGUUAGCAUUUUUAAUAUGUGUAUUUAACAAUAUUUUGUGAAAUGGAGUUAUGGAUCUAUGAUCUAACAAGUUCACUAGCAUUUGGUAGGUUUGCAAGCUUCCACAAUUUCAUUGCACAUGAUUUACUACUGAAAUAUUCAUGAAUUUAUGAUCUGACAAGUUCACUAGAAUUUGGUAGGUUUGCAAGCUUCCACGAUUUCGGAUCCGUUCGGCGAUACUCCGGCUCCUAACUCUGCGGUGGAGCGGAGCGACGUGCAGUUCAUUUCUUUGGAGCGGGCAUUCUGUCGCUCCUUGUUUCCAAAGGGAGCGGAGUGAUUGGAGUGGUACAUUGCCGAACAGGCACUUCAUUGCACAUGAUUUACUACUGAAAUAUUCAUGACUUACUAUUUGAAAGUUAAUGCUUUUGAUUUUGAGUAAUUCUAAGAGAAUAUAUCUUGUCAUUCAGGUAUCAUUUUUUAGUAAUGCUAAGAGCAUACAUGAUAUGACUCAUCAUCAUUCAUAGCUAAUAGCUGAUGACAUGGGCAAGUCGGGGAUUGGUUCUUA